CCAGCCCUCGGGACGCAGCAGUAGGGAAUCUUCCACAAUGGGCGAAAGCCUGAUGGAGCAACGCCGCGUGGGUGAAGAAGGUCUUCGGAUCGUAAAACCCUGUUGUUAGAGAAGAAAGUGCGUGAGAGUAACUGUUCACGUUUCGACGGUAUCUAACCAGAAAGCCACGGCUAACUACGUGCCAGCAGCCGCGGUAAUACGUAGGUGGCAAGCGUUAUCCGGAUUUAUUGGGCGUAAAGGGAACGCAGUCGGUAUUUUAAGUCUGAUGUGAAAGCCUUCGGGUUAACCGGAGUAGUGCAUUGGAA
rnacentral:rRNA from 1 species